rnacentral:pre_miRNA from 1 species
AGGAGCAACAGCCCCAGUGGCGGGGCCCCCUCUGGAAACCUGGAUUCAGCUCCGGCAGGAACUCCGGAGCUCUCCGUCUGCAGGGCCUGGAGGCUCCGGGGCGGG